ACUCUCUUGUCGAGUAUAUCCGGGCGAUGCGCGA
rnacentral:sRNA from 1 species